rnacentral:rRNA from 1 species
UACGUAGGCAGCAAGCGUUGUUCGGAAUUACUGGGCGUAAAGAGUGUGUAGGCGGUGCUCCAAGUCUGGUGUGAAAUCUCCCGGCUUAACUGGGAGGGUGCAUUAGAAACUGGAAUGCUAGAGGAUGGGAGAGGUAAGCGGAAUUCCUGGUGUAGCGGUGAAAUGCGUAGAUAUCAGGAGGAACACCUGUGGUGUAGACAGCUUACUGGACCAUUUCUGACGCUGAGACACGAAAGCGUGGAUAGCAAACAGG